AAUUUCAGAUGGGUCAUUUGAAUCUCUCUGCUGGCAUUUACCCCCACUCAUUCAACUUUUCCCUCUGUUGUUGAACUGGAUCAUAUGUGCUAUAAUAUAGUAAAGCUAUUAUUAAUGUGGACCCCAAACAAAGUCCUUUGCAUAAAAGUACCAUUUGUAUGAGAUGGACUUGCUGGGGGUGAGGGUACAAUCAGUAUAUAAGCUGGGGGGCUAUUCUUCUUCACAGAGUCCUUUAUAGUUUUACUAUUAUCUCUAUGUGUAAUACCGCCAUGUUACUAACUUCACUUCAUUGUUUGUCCUUUUAUUGUAUUUAUAGCUGUGAUGCCAUUAAUUGAAGAAGAAUACGGCAUUGAUAUAAAGAAGACUGCACUUGUAGAUGGACUAUUUGCUCUUGGCUUCACCAUUCUGGCUAUAGGUCCUGUCUUUAGAUAUUUUGGAGAUUGGUUAAGCCAGAAGACUAUAAUGUGUAUAGGGAUGACAGUUUGGACCCUGCUCACUUUUACCUUCUGUUUUGUACCCAAGCAGUGGUUCUGGCUCAUCCUACUCCUGCGAGGAUUACUGGACAUAAUAGCAGAUAUUUUCUUAAGCUGUGCUUUACCACUGAUUGGACACAUGUUCUCAGUGUCCAAUCGAAGACUCGCCAUAUUUAGAUUUCAGCUGUGUAGCUUUCUUUUCAGUGUAUAUUGUUUUCUUCUGCUUGUGCUCAUUCUUUUAUAUUAACCCUGAAUUCUUUCCAUUCUCCCCUUCAGGCUAAUAGCGAUCUGCAUAGCAGCAUUAGUGGCCAACCAAUUCUCCUGGCACGUGGCACGACUGGUUUAUUAUGAUAGGUUCCCUUAGUGUGGACUUUAUUCACAGAACCAGGAAUGAGACGGGGAAACAAUGGCCCCUUUUCUUGUCUCAGAAUUACUACAGUGACUUGUAAGUUUUAUUUUCAUAUUCUCUUUGGAUUUAUCAAAACUUCUGUAUAUUAUUAAUUAUAAUACUACUAAAUAUGUGUUAAUAAAUCUUCAACAUAUUUGUAACUUAUAUUUAUAUUAUAUUAUGCUAUUAGUAACCUAGCACUGGUUUUCCUGGCAGUAGAACAUACACAAGGAAUCUAGAUAUAAUAUUGUGCAACACAGAAGUCUGCAGUUUGUACUCAACACCCUUGUCUUUCUUUCCCCUAGUAUGAUCUACUCAGCAAUCAAAUGUGCAGCGGAUGUACUCGGCAUGCUGUUAGGGAUGGAAAUCAGCAAGCUAUUGAGCAAAGAGCCUCACAGUGCAGAUCCAUGGGUCUGCACCGUAGGACUCUUUGCCUUUACACCCGUCUUCAAUUUAUCUGUUCUGCUAAUGAUAAUGUAAUGCCAUCACUGGCAGUCAUCUAUCAGGCUCCUUUGGUCCCUCAGUGACUAAGUAAUGCAAUUCCUGUAAUAUCUGCCUUUGUGCUGUUCCUUGUGAAGCAAUCCCUACCCUCAUGGACUCUUUUCUCUCCCCCCAGUCUGUAAUACGGCCAAAAUUCUACACAAUUGCUGGACAGCUACAGGCCUUCCUGACGCGGUUGAUUGCAGGUGUAGGUGCUCCAUUUAUUAUUGAAUAUAUAUCUGUUAAGAUCCAGGAGUCGAAUUCUGAGAAGACUUCCUUUGAAUGCAUGCAAUUUGCCCUAAUGUUUUUACCAGUAGUGGCAGUGAUUGGAGGAACCUGCUUCCUAUAUUUAAAUUUGAGCUUCAAAAAGGAUCGGGAAUCAGUGGACAAGAACGCUACCCCAAGACAAUCUGAUAUGGAGAAAAGCUUGUUAAAGAUACAAGGGGGUAUAGGGAGAUACAGGGGACAGAGGGGGGGGAGCUGGGAGAGGGUGGAUGGAGUGAGGGAGCUGUGAGAGGGAUGUCUACCGUUGCUAUCUUACCUUCUUUCUUUUCAGGUACAAAGAGAACCCAUUUCUUUGCCAGUGAGUCUUGAGAUGGGCAACAGAGUGCAGAAUUUCCAGCCGCAGUCUAUAUAUGUCUAUGACUACUAUGACCAAGAUGAGAAUGCAGUUGUAGAAGUCAGACAUCCAUGCUCUCUCUAGUCACCUUGCAGCAGUGGCUAGCGAAUGCCUGGUCCGUCAAUCAUCAAUGAAAGAAACAUUGGUUUUUCUGCAGUUUACUUGCCGUGACACCACUACAGCACCUAGAACAUUGCUCAUCUACUCACCCUUUCAGCUUAAAGAUUUUUUUAAGGAAUAAAUAACUGAUAUUUUCCUCUCUA